rnacentral:rRNA from 1 species
UACAGAGGGUGCAAGCGUUAAUCGGAAUUACUGGGCGUAAAGCGCGCGUAGGUGGUUCGUUAAGUUGGAUGUGAAAUCCCCGGGCUCAACCUGGGAACUGCAUUCAAAACUGACGAGCUAGAGUAUGGUAGAGGGUGGUGGAAUUUCCUGUGUAGCGGUGAAAUGCGUGGAUAUAGGAAGGAACACCAGUGGCGAAGGCGACCACCUGGACUGAUACUGACACUGAGGUGCGAAAGCGUGGGGAGCAAACAGG